rnacentral:lncRNA from 1 species
AAUUGGUGCAAAUCCCAACCUGGCUGUGCGUUCUCCCUCUCGACACCUCCGCCCUGUCCCGCCGGAGCCAUCGGCGCUCCCCGACCCCAUCACGUGUCCGGCCUUGGACGGGACCCGGCUCUGCCCGCCGGGCUCCGCUCGCUGCGGGGCUGGAGCUGUGCUGGGGCCGCUCCGACCCCGGCCCGUUCCCGGUCCCGUUCCGGUCCCGCUCCUGGCCCGAUCCCGGUCCAAUUCCAGUCUCGAUCCCAGCCCCGCUCCUGGCCCGAUCCCAGCCACACUCCCAGCCCCGUUCCCGGCCCCGCCGCAGCCCCGGGCCGGGCAGCUCCGCUCGCUGCCGGCGGGAGCGGCCCCGAGCCCCCGCUCUGCUCGGCGCCCCCAGGGUGUCCUGGGCUUCGCUGGAAGGCUGAGCGAUGUCUCUCACUAACCACAUCCAGAUGUGCCUGCUUGGCAGCCCGCUGCACAGACGGUACCGAGGGGACGCAGGAUCAGCGCUAUCAAAUGGGCUUUGAAGAACUGAUUAAAUAAGACAGAAGAUCUCCAGGAAAAGUAUGGGCAGUGGUGCCAGGCAGCUCAAACACGGCUUUUAGCAGUC